AUUUCUUGACUGAAAUUUGAUUAUAGUUUGUAAAAUCGCCCGUUUAUGGAUUUCAGUCAAUUUCUGUUUGGAAUUUGUAAAAACUUUCUUUUGCAAUGUUGUAGAGAAUUGAAUUUCCUAUAAAAAGCAGCGAGAUUCGAAUUUUCUGAUAAAAGAGCUAUUUAUUAUGAAUUAUUGAAGUUCCGAAGUUCUGAAAUAAUUGAUUUUUGGAAGUUUUAUUUAUGUUUUAAAAGAAAAACGUUUUUUAAAUGUUUGUGGACAUCUUUAACAUGUGCUAGAUGGCUGAAAUCAG
rnacentral:lncRNA from 1 species